UACGUAGGGUGCAAGCGUUGUCCGGAAUUAUUGGGCGUAAAGAGCUCGUAGGCGGUUUGUCGCGUCUGCUGUGAAAACCCGAGGCUCAACCUCGGGCCUGCAGUGGGUACGGGCAGACUAGAGUUGCGGUAGGGGAGAUUGGAAUUCCUGGUGUAGCGGUGGAAUGCGCAGAUAUCAGGAGGAACACCAAUGGCGAAGGCAGAUCUCUGGGCCGUAAC
rnacentral:rRNA from 1 species